CAUUGUAAUCGGUGCACCACCCGAAGAAACUCAAAAAGAAAAACUCCCACUGUUUUUUCUCUUUUCCUUUUUUAUCGAGGUAAUCUCCCUAUGUAAAGAGAGAAUCCUACCUUUUUCUCUUCUCCUUUUUUAUUCUAGGUAGUCUCCCUAUGUAAUUUCCUUGCCUUUUGUUUUCUUUGUUUCAGGUAUUCCCUAUGUUUCUAUUGCAUUCAAUGGUGUUUGUAAGAAUGACAUUCAAAAUUUUAGGAAUUUUAUAUUGCAUUCAAGGUGUUUGUAAGAAUGCCUCGAUGGUAUACAUCACAUUUUGCUCCUCCUCUGAACAUCUCUUGACCUUAAUAGUUACUCUAGGUUUUUUUUGUUGGCUCGACUGUAUGGUGUUGUGCAUGAGAAAGAGACAGACCUUUUAUUAUACUUCCAGGAAAUUUAGAUAGAAUCGUAGUCUUUGGAAACUAAUGCUCUAGACAGAAAGUUUCAAAAAGAAGUAAACCCGAAGUGGUUUGGCCACAUGGUUGUGAGGUCAUUUUUAUGGAGGCCAAACAUUCCUAACCCUGGAGUCACUGGGAGUUAUGCCUGGUCAUUACCUUCAAGGCCGUGAAAUUAGUCUAGGUGUGCGCAGGCUGCGCCGGACAUCCGGUUGGUUACAAUUUAUGCUUUGAUAGUUGAACAACUACCAAGUUGCAAAUCUUUAAACAAGUGUGUUCCCAGCGUGUCCUUUAAGUGGUUUUUUUCCAGUUUCAUAAUUUUUUCACUAUUAUUUUGGGUAAACUUUGCCAAUACUCCGUGCCAUUCAUUUGUAGGAAUUGGUAGUUCCGGCAAAACAAAUGUCACACGAAGGGAAAGAAAAAGUAACCUAUCCCUUGAGCAACGAGAAUGCACAAGUUCAACCCAUCCGAGACAGAAAUAUCGGAAUUGUAAUCCGUCAUGAGCGGGACCAAAAUAUCAUCCAUACUCAUGAGGUACGACUCCAUACAAAUAAAAAAGUUUUCAAGUGAUUGUGUGGUGGUAUAUAUGGAUUUGGCGCAAUAUCCCAUUUGAUUAAAAACCUAUAUGAUGGUUGGUUUUGAUUUGUGGUUGGGACAUUGAGUUAAGUGGGGGCAUUGUGAAGCAUUUUUGUAUACCAAUCUCCCCUUCAAUUUUAUGAUUGCUAAUUGCUUUGGUUGAUUUCAA